AAAAUAACUAAAUAAUAUUCUUCUUAGUCUACCUUUAUUUUAUUAUUUAUUUCGUGAUGUAAUGUUAUGUACCAAGGAACGGACUUUGAGAUUGUAAAAUCUUACACGUACCUGGGCGUUCACCUGAACUGUGAACUGCUCAGAUAACAGCUGUUUAAGAAGGGACAGAGCAGCUGAAGGAGGUCUGUUGGAGUGCAGGAGGCUCCUGAAGACCUUCUUUGACUCUGUGGGGUCAUCAGCUGUUCUUUAUGGGGGGGGGGGGGGGUCUGCUGGUACAGCAACAUCUCUGCUGAUAGGAAGACACUGAAUAGACUGCUGAAGAAGGCCAGCUCUGUCCUGGGGAGGCCUCUGGACACUGUGGAGGUGGUGGGAGACGAGCUGUCCUCUCUAUUGGACAACAUGUCCCCCCCCCCUCCAGGACACUUUGUCCUCACUGUUUAGCUCCUUCAGUGACAGGCUGCUUCACCCGCAGUGUCUCACGGAGAGAUACCGGAGGUCCUGUCUCCCUGCAGCGGUCAGACUGCACCAUCAUCACCACGGCCCCUGGUAGACCACCACACCAACAACACACUGUUCCACAGACAACACACUGUCCCCCCGACAACACGUUGUCCCGCCGACAACACGCUGUCCCACCGACAACACACUGUCACACAGACAACACACUGUCCCACCGACACACUGUCCCACCGACACACACUGUCACACAGACAACACACUGUUCCACCGACAACACACUGUUCCACCGACAACACACUGUUCCACCAACUGUCCCACCGACAACACACUGUCCCACCGACACACACUGUUCCACCGACAACACACACUGCCCCACCGACACACACUGUUCCACCGACAACACACACUGUUCCACCGACAACACACACUGUUCCACCAACUGUCCCACUGACAACACACUGUCCCACCGACAACACACUGUCCCGCCGACAACACACUGUUCCACCGACAACACACUGUCACACAGACAACACACUGUCCCACAGACAACACACUGUCCCACAGACAACACACUGUUCCACCGACACACACUGUUCCACCGACACACUGUCCCACCGACACACACUGUUCCACCGACAACACACUGUUCCACCAAACUGUCCCACCGACAACACACUGUUCCACCGACAACACACUGUCCCACAGACAACACACUGUUCCACCAACACACACUGUUCCACCGACAACACACUGUUCCACCAACUGUCCCACCGACAACACACUGUUCCACCAACUGUCCCACCGACAACACACUGUUCCAACGACAACACACUGUCCCACCGACACACACUGUUCCACCGACAACACACUGUUCCACCAACUGUCCCACCGACAACACACUGUUCCACCGACAACACACUGUUCCACCAACACACACUGUUCCACUGACAACACACUGUCCCACCGACACACACUGCCCCACCGACAACACACUGUUCCACCAACUGUCCCACCGACAACACACUGUUCCACCGACAACACACUGUUCCACCAACACAC
rnacentral:lncRNA from 1 species